rnacentral:rRNA from 1 species
UACGGAGGAUCCAAGCGUUGUCCGGAUUUAUUGGGUUUAAAGGGUGCGUAGGCGGAUAAUUAAGUCAGUGGUGAAAUCUUGCGGCUCAACCGUAAAAUUGCCAUUGAAACUGAUUAUCUCGAGUACAGUUUGAGGUGGGCGGAAUGUAUCAUGUAGCGGUGAAAUGCUUAGAUAUGAUACAGAACACCUAUUGCGAAAAGCAGCUCACUAAAACUGUCACUGACGCUGAGGCACGAAAAGCGUGGGGGAUCAAAACAGGG